GAGUUUGAUCAUGGCUCAGAACGAACGCUGGCGGCAGGCCUAACACAUGCAAGUCGAGCGCGCCCUUCGGGGUGAGCGGCGGACGGGUUAGUAACGCGUGGGAACGUGCCCAGAUCUAAGGAAUAGCCACUGGAAACGGUGAGUAAUACCUUAUACGCCCUUCGGGGGAAAGAUUUAUCGGAUUUGGAUCGGCCCGCGUUAGAUUAGGUAGUUGGUGGGGUAAUGGCCUACCAAGCCUACGAUCUAUAGCUGGUUUUAGAGGAUGAUCAGCAACACUGGGACUGAGACACGGCCCAGACUCCUACGGGAGGCAGCAGUGGGGAAUCUUGGACAAUGGGGGCAACCCUGAUCCAGCCAUGCCGCGUGAGUGAUGAAGGCCUUAGGGUCGUAAAGCUCUUUCGCCUGUGAUGAUAAUGACAGUAGCAGGUAAAGAAACCCCGGCUAACUCCGUGCCAGCAGCCGCGGUAAUACGGAGGGGGUUAGCGUUGUUCGGAAUUACUGGGCGUAAAGCGCGCGUAGGCGGAUUAGUCAGUUAGAGGUGAAAUCCCAGGGCUCAACCCUGGAACUGCCUUUAAUACUGCUAGUCUUGAGUUCGAGAGAGGUGAGUGGAAUU
rnacentral:rRNA from 1 species